GUAGUUAGCCGGAGCUUCCUCCUUGGGUACCGUCAUUUGUUUCGUCCCCAAGGACAGAGGUUUACAACCCGAAAGCCUUCUUCCCUCACGCGGCGUUGCUGGGUCAGGGUUUCCCCCAUUGCCCAAUAUUCCCCACUGCUGCCUCCCGUAGGAGUCUGGACCGUGUCUCAGUUCCAGUGUGGCCGAUCACCCUCUCAGGUCGGCUACCCAUCGUCGGUUUGGUGGGCCGUUACCUCACCAACUGCCUAAUGGGACGCGAGCUCAUCUACAAGCGAUAAAUCUUUGACCCCUCUACCAUGCGAUAGCGUGGUCUUAUGCGGUAUUAGCAGCCGUUUCCAGCUGUUGUCCCCCUCUUGUAGGCAGAUUGCUCACGCGUUACUCACCCGUCCGCCACUCAGUCUACCAGAGCAAGACUCCGGUAGCUUCGUUCUAACUUGCAUGUGUUAAGACACGCCGCCACGCGUCGUCUCUGACACGAGACAACUAACUACGUACUACGUAGACGGCGACGGCGGACGGACGGACGACGACGA
rnacentral:rRNA from 1 species